AGCAGUAGCCGCGGGAAUACGAGGGGAGCUAGCGUUGUUCGGAAUUACUGGGCGUAAAGCGCGCGUAGGCGGCUUUUUAAGUCAGAGGUGAAAGCCCGGGGCUCAACCCCGGAAUUGCCUUUGAAACUGGAAAGCUAGAAUCUUGGAGAGGUCAGUGGAAUUCCGAGUGUAGAGGUGAAAUUCGUAGAUAUUCGGAAGAACACCAGUGGCGAAGGCGACUGACUGGACAAGUAUUGACGCUGAGGUGCGAAAGCGUGGGGAGCAAACAGGAUUAGAUACCCCAGUAGUCCCUGUCUCUUAUAC
rnacentral:rRNA from 1 species